rnacentral:rRNA from 1 species
UACGUAGGGGGCGAGCGUUGUCCGGAUUCAUUGGGCGUAAAGAGCUCGUAGGCGGUUUGGCAAGUCGGAUGUGAAAUCUCCAGGCUCAACCUGGAGCGGCCAUUCGAUACUGCUAUGACUAGAGUCCAGUAGGGGAGUGUGGAAUUCCCGGUGUAGCGUUGAAAUGCGCAGAUAUCGGGAGGAACACCGGCGGCGAAGGCGGCACUCUGGGCUGGUACUGACGCUGAGGAGCGAAAGCGUGGGGAGCAAACAGG